GGGCGGGCUGCGGCGCUUGGGGCGUGAGGCGCCUGCGUGGGGCUGGGCGGCCCGUGGGCGUGGGUGCUGGCCGCAAGGUCCCCACGCUGACCCCGAGGCGCCGCUAGUGGCCCCGCGCGCGGCCUUCCCACCCAAGCCGCCCCUCUCGGGCUCGUCUUUGGUCCCCGUGGCUUGGCGCGCCCGCAUUAACCGCUGUCUUCACUUUGGGGCUGCGCUGACCGCGAACGCUACGCCGGCCGUGGUGGCGGCGAGGCGCCUGUCUCGCACCUUUACGGGUGUUCACGCCUUUGCUUUGAAAUACAGCCCUAGAAGGACACGUGGUUGGCCCCGAAGGAGCCCCGGCAGCCAUGUCGGACUGCGAGGUGCUGAUACCAUGUAAACAUUGUCAUACCCAAACUCAGUCGCAGCAUCUGCUCCUGGAGAAACCGUUCUGCAACAGUUAAAGCUGUGAGAAGAUGGGAGUUGAGGCUGCAUGACUCACCAGUGGUGAAGUAGGGGGUGAACUAUUGAAAUGGAAUACCUAUGUGGGUAAAGUAUCAGACAUUUCAUACACGGCGAACGGAGUAGCUAUGAGGAAGGAAAAGGGGAUUGCUUAGUGCCACCGAGUCUCUUAAGAAUGGUGGACAGCCAUAUGCUUACCUGGCAGGGGCGAUACCAUGAUCACAAAGGUGGUUUUACCAGGGCGAGGCUUAUCCAUUGCACUCCGGAUGUGGUGACCCCUGCCGAUUUCCCCAAAUGUGGGAAACUCGACUGCAUAAUUUGUGGUAGUGGGACACUACGUUCACGCUCUCCCCUGAUCUCUUU